rnacentral:rRNA from 1 species
AUUGAACGCUGGCGGCAGGCCUAACACAUGCAAGUCGAGCGGGGUUUUCGGACCUAGCGGCGGACGGGUGAGUAAUGCGUAGGAAGCUGCCCGAUAGAGGGGGAUACCAGUUGGAAACGACUGUUAACACCGCAUAAUGUCUACGGACCAAAGUGUGGGACCUUCGGGCCACAUGCUAUCGGAUGCGCCUACGUGGGAUUAGCUAGUUGGUGAGGUAAUGGCUCACCAAGGCGACGAUCUCUAGCUGGUUUGAGAGGAUGAUCAGCCACACUGGAACUGAGACACGGUCCAGACUCCUACGGGAGGCAGCAGUGGGGAAUAUUGGACAAGGGGCGCAAGCCUGAUCCAGCCAUGCCGCGUGUGUGAGGAAGGCCUUCGGGUUGUAAAGCACUUUCAGCGAGGAGGAAGGGGUGUGUGUUAAUAGUACACACCUUUGACGUUACUCGCAGAAGAAGCACCGGCUAACUCUGUGCCAGCAGCCGCAGUAAUAC